AACGAACGCUGGCGGCAUGCCUAACACAUGCAAGUCGAACGCUCUUGCAACUUCGGUUGCAAGGGAGUGGCGCACGGGUGAGUAGCGCGUGGGAACCUGCCCUGUUGUGGGGGAUAACCGAGGGAAACUUCGGCUAAAACCGCAUGCGCCCCCGGGGGUGACUUUGGGGGGAAAGAUUUAUCGCAGCAGGAGGGGCCCGCGUCGGAUUAGCUGGUUGGGGGGGUAACGGCUCACCAAGGCGAGGAUCCGUAGCUGGUCUGUGAGGAGGAUCAGCCACACUGGGACUGGAACACGGCCCGGACUCCUACGGGAGGCAGCAGGGGGGAAUAUUGGACAAUGGGCGCAAGCCUGAUCCAGCAAUGCCGCGUGAGCGAUGAAGGCCUUCGGGUUGUAAAGCUCUUUCGCCCGCGACGAUGAUGACGGUCGCGGGAGAAGAAGCCCCGGCUAACUUCGUGCCAGCCGCCGCGGUAAAAC
rnacentral:rRNA from 1 species